rnacentral:rRNA from 1 species
CAAUAGCGUAUACUAAUGUUGUUGCAGUUAAAAAGCUCGUAGUUGAACUUCUGGUAGGAGUGUCCCGGCCUUUUUGUUUUUACAAAUUGUAUGCUGUGUGACAUCUCUGGCCAUCCUUCUUCUUUGUUUAAAGAAGAUCUUUCACUGUAAAAAAAUUAGGGUGUUCAAAGCAAAAGUUUCUUUGGAAUAUAUUAGUAUGGGAUGAUAAGAUAGGCUCUAGAUGUUAUUUUGUUGGUUUGCACAUUUAGAGAAUGAUUAACAGGGACAGUUGGGGGUAUUCGUAUUUACAUGUCAGAGGUGAAAUUCUUGGAUUUUGGAAAGACGAACUACUGCGAAAGCAUUUACCAAGGAUGUUUUCAUUAA